AAAAAUACCGGCCAGACCAGAAGUGUGAUACUCUUUUGGCAACAGCAUUAAGUCAGCCACAUGGACUUCAUUUGGCAACUAAAGGGUGUGAAUACGUGUUCAGGUUCCGAGGCUCCCCCGGACAAUGGUUACAAUAUGUUGGCUCAAGCAAGCUAAUGGAUUUCAGUGUCGGGCAUUUAAAAAUUCCGUGUUCAAGCAGCAAUCACGGUAUGACGAGCCGUCAGCUCGACCCUGCUCUCCUUCCUCGUGCGGCUGGAGGGAAGCACGCAGGGCACGUUCUGAGGGAAAGAUGCAGCAUUUGCAAUUUCAUGUCUAAUUUCCUGGCUGUUUAUCAGCCGAAGCAACCCCAGGAAGCUCAAUUUCGCUUCUAAUCUUUCAGAGGAGCUGAUAAGUGAGAGGGAAAGAAGCGCCCCAGCUCCUCCGAGCUACGGAUCUCCGAAGUCGCUGGAAAACCUGCCGGCCGACGAAUCUCUCCGCCCGAGAAGCUUUCCCUGUAACACCCGCCUCCUCUCAAGCGAAGGAGACCAAGGGGCGGUGGCGAGAGAGGACUAGCUCGCCUGUGUCUGUCUGCUUACACUGGGCGGGCUUCCAUUCUCCUUGCUUUUCCUUUCUUUUGGUUUCUUUUCCUUUUGAGCUGAUAUCAACUCGUAUAUAGGAACAUUCAGCAGAUUCCAACUGGUGACAGUUUGCUGCUGCCUGGCCACAGGGCGAAGAAUCACCAUUUACUGUAUGUUUCUCACUGGUCAGUGGCUCUCGGGCCAGACUCCCACCUUGGCCGUCUUCCUGCAUCAGUCGGAUCUUCCUUAUGUUCCUUUCCCUUCAAUCCUCCUUCGGCCUCGGAUAUUUGGAAAAGGAAGAUAAGGGACACACUGAAAACAGAAAGGCGAUCUGAAGUCUGCCUUGACGCAUGUGCAGAAGUGUGACCUCCCAAGUGUGACCUCCAGAACACUCGCAGUUCUGUCCCUGGGCCUCCCUGGAACAGACCGCCAGUCACUGCGAACUGCGGCAGGAUGAAGAUGUUUGUGUAAAGUGGACUCGAGUUCUCUAGACCCAAGGAGGAAACCACCGGACUAAUUUUACCUUCACUUAAACCAGACUGAAACCAAGACUCAAGAAUGAAAAACCUUGUCAUUAACCAUCCAUUCACCUCAGUGAGAUAUUAUGUUACAACCAGAAUCGUUGUGGAAUUCGAAUGAUUUUGAUGGGAUAUUUAACCAGGGGCUUAAAUUAAAUUGAAUAUUUUCUCUAGUGAACAGUCUAUGGUCAAAUUUCUGUUUUCAUUAAAUUAUAUGAAGCGUCAUAUUCUCAACUCAUGUUGAACCUGCAACACAUCACUAAUUACAUCUGGGAUUUCAGUAACAAAUGUUGUGGCACAGCGGCCUCAUGAAAUGCCUAAAAUGCUAAGAAUCGGAACACCUCAAAGUUGUUUUCAUUCUUGGCAUUUAGACUUAAAAAAAA